UGUGGGUGUUGCACUGUCAGGGGUGUGCAGUGUGAGGUGAGGGGUGUGCGGUGUGGGUGUAUUGUGAGGUGAGGGGUGUGCGUGUUGCACUGUCAGGGGUGUGCAGUGUGAGGUGAGGGGUGUGCAGUGUGGGUGUAUUGUGAGGUGAGGGGUGUGCGGUGUGCGUGUUGCACUGUCAGGGGUGUGCACUGUGAGGUGAGGGGUGUGCACUCUGUGUAUUGUGAGGUGAGGGGUGUGCGGUGUGCGUGUUGCACUGUCAGGGGUGUGCAGUGUGAGGUGAGGGGUGUGCGGUGUGGGUGUAUUGUGAGGUGAGGGGUGUGCGGUGUGCGUGUUGCACUGUCAGGGGUGUGCACUGUGAGGUGAGGGGUGUGCACUCUGUGUAUUGUGAGGUGAGGAGUGUGCAGUGUGCGUGUUGCACUAUCAGGGGUGUGCAGUGUGAGGUGAGGGGUGUGCGGUGUGGGUGUAUCGUGAGGUGAGGGGUGUGCGGUGUGGGUGUAUUGUGAGGUGAGGGGUGUGCGUGUUGCACUGUCAGGGGUGUGCAGUGUGAGGUGAGGGGUGUGCGGUGUGGGUGUAUCGUGAGGUGAGGGGUGUGCGGUGUGGGUGUAUUGUGAGGUGAGGGGUGUGCCUGUUGCACUGUCAGGGGUGUGCAGUGUGAGGUGAGGGGUGUGCGGUGUGGGUGUAUCGUGAGGUGAGGGGUGUGCAGUGUGGGUGUUGCACUGUCAGGGGUGUGCAGUGUGAGGUGAGGGGUGUGCAGUGUGGGUGUAUUGUGAGGUGAGGGGUGUGCGUGUUGCACUGUCAGGGGUGUGCAGUGUGAGGUGAGGGGUGUGCGGUGUGGGUGUAUUGUGAGGUGAGGGGUGUGCGGUGUGCGUGUUGCACUGUCAGGGGUGUGCAGUGUGAGGUGAGGGGUGUGCGGUGUGGGUGUAUUGUGAGGUGAGGGGUGUGCGGUGUGCGUGUUGCACUGUCAGGGGUGUGCACUGUGAGGUGAGGGGUGUGCGUGUUGCACUGUCAGGGGUGUGCAGUGUGAGGUGAGGGGUGUGCGUGUUGCACUGUCAGGGGUGUGCAGUGUGAGGUGAGGGGUGUGCGGUGUGGGUGUAUCGUGAGGUGAGGGGUGUGCAGUGUGGGUGUUGCACUGUCAGGGGUGUGCAGUGUGAGGUGAGGGGUGUGCGGUGUGGGUGUAUUGUGAGGGGUGUGCGGUGUGCGUGUUGCACUGUCAGGGGUGUGCAGUGUGAGGUGAGGGGUGUGCGGUGUGGGUGUAUUGUGAGGUGAGGGGUGUGCGGUGUGCGUGUUGCACUGUCAGGGGUGUGCAGUGUGAGGUGAGGGGUGUGCGGUGUGGGUGUAUUGUGAGGUGAGGGGUGUGCGGUGUGCGUGUUGCACUGUCAGGGGUGUGCAGUGUGAGGUGAGGGGUGUGCGGUGUGGGUGUAUUGUGAGGUGAGGGGUGUGCGGUGUGCGUGUUGCACUGUCAGGGGUGUGCAGUGUGAGGUGAGGG